rnacentral:rRNA from 1 species
CGACCCCUAAGGUGAGGCCGAAAGGCGUAAUCGAUGGGAAACGGGUUAAUAUUCCCGUACUUCUGACUAUUGCGAUGGGGGGACGGAGAAGGCUAGGUGGGCCAGGCGACGGUUGUCCUGGUUCAAGUGCGUAGGCUUGAGAGUUAGGUAAAUCCGGCUCUCUCUAAGGCUGAGACACGACGUCGAGCUACUACGGUAGUGAAGUCAUUGAUGCCAUG